rnacentral:rRNA from 1 species
GACGAACGCUGGCGGCGUGCUUAACACAUGCAAGUCGAACGGAAAGGCCCUGCUUUUGUGGGGUGCUCGAGUGGCGAACGGGUGAGUAACACGUGAGUAACCUGCCCUUGCCUUUGGGAUAACUUCAGGAAACUGGGGCUAAUACCGGAUAGGAGCUCCUGCUGCAUGGUGGGGGUUGGAAAGUUUCGGCGGUUGGGGAUGGACUCGCGGCUUAUCAGCUUGUUGGUGGGGUAGUGGCUUACCAAGGCUUUGACGGGUAGCCGGCCUGAGAGGGUGACCGGCCACAUUGGGACUGAGAUGCGGCCCAGACUCCUACGGGAGGCAGCAGUGGGGAAGAGUGCACAAUGGGCGGAAGCCUGAUGCAGCAACGCCGCGUGCGGGAUGACGGCCUUCGGGUUGUAAACCGCUUUCGCCUGUGACGAAGCGUGAGUGACGGUAAUGGGUAAAGAAGCACCGGCUAACUACGUG